rnacentral:rRNA from 1 species
GGCGGCGUGCCUAACACAUGCAAGUCGAACGAGAAAGGGGUAGCAAUACCCUGAGUAAAGUGGCGCACGGGUGAGUAACACGUGACUAACCUACCCUGGAGUGGGGGAUAACUGAGGGAAACCUUAGCUAAUACCGCAUAAUACCCACGGGUCAAAGGAGCAAUUCGCUUCAGGAGGGGGUCGCGGCCGAUUAGUUAGUUGGCGGGGUAAUGGCCCACCAAGACGAUGAUCGGUAUCCGGCCUGAGAGGGCGCACGGACACACUGGAACUGAAACACGGUCCAGACUCCUACGGGAGGCAGCAGUGGGGAAUUUUGCGCAAUGGGGGAAACCCUGACGCAGCAACGCCGCGUGGAGGAUGAAGUACUUCGGUACGUAAACUCCUUUCGAUCGGGACGAUAAUGACGGUACCGAGAGAAGAAGCCCCGGCUAACUUCGUGCCAGCAGCCGCGGUAAUACGAAGGGGGCGAGCGUUGUUCGGAAUUAUUGGGCGUAAAGGGUGCGUAGGCGGUUUGGUAAGUCUCUUGUGAAAUCUAUGGGCUCAACUCAUA